CGACCUGCACGAAUGGCGUAAUGAUGGCCAGGCUGUCUCCACCCGAGACUCAGUGAAAUUGAACUCGCUGUGAAGAUGCAGUGUACCCGCGGCAAGACGGAAAGACCCCGUGAACCUUUACUAUAGCUUGACACUGAACAUUGAGCCUUGAUGUGUAGGAUAGGUGGGAGGCUUUGAAGCGUGGACGCCAGUCUGCGUGGAGCCGACCUUGAAAUACCACCCUUUAAUGUUUGAUGUUCUAACGUGGAUCCGUAAUCCGGGUUGCGGACAGUGUCUGGUGGGUAGUUUGACUGGGGCGGUCUCCUCCUAAAGAGUAACGGAGGAGCACGAAGGUUGGCUAAUCCUGGUCGGACAUCAGGAGGUUAGUGCAAUGGCAUAAGCCAGCUUGACUGCGAGCGUGACGGCGCGAGCAGGUGCGAAAGCAGGUCAUAGUGAUCCGGUGGUUCUGAAUGGAAGGGCCAUCGCUCAACGGAUAAAAGGUACUCCGGGGAUAACAGGCUGAUACCGCCCAAGAGUUCAUAUCGACGGCGGUGUUUGGCACCUCGAUGUCGGCUCAUCACAUCCUGGGGCUGAAGUAGGUCCCAAGGGUAUGGCUGUUCGCCAUUUAAAGUGGUACGCGAGCUGGGUUUAGAACGUCGUGAGACAGUUCGGUCCCUAUCUGCCGUGGGCGCUGGAGAACUGAGGGGGGCUGCUCCUAGUACGAGAGGACCGGAGUGGACGCAUCACUGGUGUUCGGGUUGUCAUGCCAAUGGCACUGCCCGGUAGCUAAAUGCGGAAGAGAUAAGUGCUGAAAGCAUCUAAGCACGAAACUUGCCCCGA
rnacentral:rRNA from 1 species